ensembl:lncRNA
UUACUUUUGACAAAAGUAUUUACAGAAGCAGGGAACCUGAGCACAUAAGGAUUAGUUCCCUGUCAUCUCAACAAGGGUUGAAAUAUGAUUGAUAGAAUAUGUAUUUACUCUGCCUGUUCUGAUGCCGAUGUCACAAUACCCUGUCCUGUUCAAACCUGUGCUAAAGUGAAUCCACGAGUCAUGACUCUCCUUGUAUCCGUUUGAUCCUUUCAUCGGAACUGGAGCACAGGCUCCAUAUUUCUCCAUAUUUCAGUUCUUAGUCAGAGGGCUGGGGCCCACUGGGGGCCUCAGCAAACUGUCAGCAGGGCCUCAAUAUGACUGAAAAUAAGAUCACAUCACAUCAACUAUUAUCAUUAUUAUUAUUUUUUCUGUUGAAGAGCGGAAUUCCUACUGCCUAGAACAAAAGAACUAGGGCUCGUGCCCUAGUGAGAAAAGGACCAGUGAUGUACUUCUUUGAUUUCAAUAAAAUUAAAUGACAUUAGAAUAUAAAUUAUGUUUUCAUAUCUAUUCAUAUUAUCAACUGAUGCUCUAAAAGGAAAUUAGUUUGUUACAUUGAUUUUAUCUGCAAAAACUAGCAUAAAGAAGCAUAACCAGUACAGAUGUUUUUUGUUGUUUUUUAUUUUUUUAUUAAGAAUCAUAAAAUAUGAAAGUAAAAAAAAAAAAAAAAAAGUUUUUCUAGAGCAAUUCUAGCCUCAGAGUGAUUAUGAAUAAAACAAACAAAUGGGUGAUUGGUACUGGAGACAACCCAGAAGAAAGAUAUGUUGGGGAUGUCACUGGAAAUAUUUUGACAAUUCAUACUUAACACUGUACAGGUUUUCAACUCUUACAGAUAUUAAAACAAGUGCGAUUUAGGGCCAUAGGUUUAGUCUUGAGUAUCCUGUGUUUUCUGUAGUCAUUUUCUACUGCAAAACGACCCUAUCAGACGAAAGAAAGGAAGACCAGGUUUUUGCUGAACCAGUCAAAUGAAGGCUAGAUUCUGUUGUGAUCGUCAGACUUUAAAGAUGAGCAUCUGGCUGAUGAUGAUCUGGGUGUCUCACACUGUGGGAACAGCAACAAAGGCCUUUGUUGUAACACAGUGGCCGACAGUGGCUGAGGUGAUGGCUGGAGAAGAUGUCAUUUUAAACUGCAACAUUGCAGAGCUGUACUCCUCGUGUUCAACAGUGGCUUGGCUGAGGGUCAUUCCCGAGAACGCAACGAUCAGCCUGACCGACAGACUUCAGAUCGAUCCUCAUCACUUGUCCAGCCAGUGGACCAGUAUUUGUACUGCUGUUAUCACCAAUUCAACGGUGCAUGACUCCAGUAUGUACUACUGCGCAGCUGUGAAAAGCCGCUUUGCUCACAUCGGUAAUGGAUCCAGAGUCAUUGUGAAAGAACACACUGUGUUUCCUGUUAUUGAUAUUCUUACUCCGCUGAUCACAAACGGUCCUUUGGUCCCUCUUCAGUGUGUUGUGAACAUGGUCGAGACUUCUCAGGUUCAUAUGUUCUGGACUGUGGAGGGGAAAAAAGAGAAAGGACAGCCAGUUUUGACACAUGGGAAUGAUGGUGUCAUCCAGAUCACUAGGAGCCAGAUCCUGAUUACUGCUGACGAGUGGGAAAGGAAGGUGCAGUGUGUGUGUGUAGUGGAGUCUGGAGGACAGCUCUAUACCAAGACCCUUCAGCCACAUGAUGCACCAGAUGUGUGUUAUGCUGCAAAAUACAUAUAUCUGUCUGUCUGCUUAAUUUUCGGUAUCCUGCUUCUGGCAACAGUAAUUAUUUAUAGGUUGGGACGGAAAACCUUUUUGAUGAUAUGUCUAUGCAAAAACAUAUAGUUUCAAAGAGCUUUCAGUUUAUGUCCAUUAUUUUGCUUUAACACAUUUUUAUUCAUCAAACUUAUUUUGGUAUGUGCCAUUGCACAUCAGAUGAAAGAAGGCAACAGUUAGUAAUAUUUUGAUAUCUCUUCUCAAAAAGCAUGAGUAGUUCUGAUGUUUAUGUUCAGAUCGUUAUGGAUCUUUGAUGUUUUGAAUAGUGUUGUUUGUUUUGUGAAUUGAAAGGGUAAAUUUAUACUUUCAUCCAAUAUGUUCUGAACUUUGUUUAUUCCAAUAGAGUGAAUAAAAAACCUGAAUAAAAUAAACA